rnacentral:rRNA from 1 species
AUGAACGCUGGCGGCGUGCCUAAUACAUGCAAGUCGAACGAGUUCUGAUUAUUGAAGGGUGCUUGCAUCUUGAUUUAAUUUUGAACGAGUGGCGGACGGGUGAGUAACACGUGGGUAACCUGCCCUUAAGUGGGGGAUAACAUUUGGAAACAGAUGCUAAUACCGCAUAAAUCCAAGAACCGCAUGGUUCUUGGCUGAAAGAUGGCGUAAGCUAUCGCUUUUGGAUGGACCCGCGGCGUAUUAGCUAGUUGGUGAGGUAACGGCUCACCAAGGCAAUGAUACGUAGCCGAACUGAGAGGUUGAUCGGCCACAUUGGGACUGAGACACGGCCCAAACUCCUACGGGAGGCAGCAGUAGGGAAUCUUCCACAAUGGACGCAAGUCUGAUGGAGCAACGCCGCGUGAGUGAAGAAGGCUUUCGGGUCGUAAAACUCUGUUGUUGGAGAAGAAUGGUCGGCAGAGUAACUGUUGUCGGCGUGACGGUAUCCAACCAGAAAGCCACGGCUAACUACGUGCCAGCAGCCGCGGUAAUACGUAGGUGGCAAGCGUUAUCCGGAUUUAUUGGGCGUAAAGCGAGCGCAGGCGGUUUUUUAAGUCUGAUGUGAAAGCCCUCGGCUUAACCGAGGAAGUGCAUCGGAAACUGGGAAACUUGAGUGCAGAAGAGGACAGUGGAACUCCAUGUGUAGCGGUGAAAUGCGUAGAUAUAUGGAAGAACACCAGUGGCGAAGGCGGCUGUCUGGUCUGUAACUGACGCUGAGGCUCGAAAGCAUGGGUAGCGAACAGGAUUAGAUACCCUGGUAGUCCAUGCCGUAAACGAUGAAUGCUAGGUGUUGGAGGGUUUCCGCCCUUCAGUGCCGCAGCUAACGCAUUAAGCAUUCCGCCUGGGGAGUACGACCGCAAGGUUGAAACUCAAAGGAAUUGACGGGGGCCCGCACAAGCGGUGGAGCAUGUGGUUUAAUUCGAAGCAACGCGAAGAACCUUACCAGGUCUUGACAUCUUUUGAUCACCUGAGAGAUCAGGUUUCCCCUUCGGGGGCAAAAUGACAGGUGGUGCAUGGUUGUCGUCAGCUCGUGUCGUGAGAUGUUGGGUUAAGUCCCGCAACGAGCGCAACCCUUAUGACUAGUUGCCAGCAUUUAGUUGGGCACUCUAGUAAGACUGCCGGUGACAAACCGGAGGAAGGUGGGGAUGACGUCAAAUCAUCAUGCCCCUUAUGACCUGGGCUACACACGUGCUACAAUGGAUGGUACAACGAGUUGCGAGACCGCGAGGUCAAGCUAAUCUCUUAAAGCCAUUCUCAGUUCGGACUGUAGGCUGCAACUCGCCUACACGAAGUCGGAAUCGCUAGUAAUCGCGGAUCAGCACGCCGCGGUGAAUACGUUCCCGGGCCUUGUACACACCGCCCGUCACACCAUGAGAGUUUGUAACACCCGAAGCCGGUGGCGUAACCCUUUUAGGGAGCGAGCCGUCUAAGGUGGGACAAAUGAUUAGGGUG